rnacentral:rRNA from 1 species
GACGAACGCUGGCGGCGUGCUUAACACAUGCAAGUCGAACGGAAAGGCCCUGCUUGCAGGGUGCUCGAGUGGCGAACGGGUGAGUAACACGUGGGUGAUCUGCCCCUUACUUUGGGAUAAGCCUGGGAAACUGGGUCUAGUACUGGAUAGGACCAUGCUGUAGGUGGUGUGGUGGAAAGAUUAGUUUCGGUAAGGGAUGAGCUCGCGGCCUAUCAGCUUGUUGGUGGGGUAAUGGCCUACCAAGGCGUCGACGGGUAGCCGGCCUGAGAGGGUGGACGGCCACAUUGGGACUGAGAUACGGCCCAGACUCCUACGGGAGGCAGCAGUGGGGAAUAUUGCACAAUGUGCGCAAGCCGGAUGCAGCGACGCCGCGUGGGGGAUGACGGCCUUCGGGUUGUAAACUCCUUUCAGCCAUGACGAAGCCCUUGUGGUGACGGUAGUGGUAGAAGAAGCACCGGCUAACUACGUG